GAUGAACGCUGGCGGCGUGCCUAAUACAUGCAAGUCGAGCGAACGGACGAGAAGCUUGCUUCUCUGAUGUUAUCGGCGGACGGGUGAGUAACACGUGGAUAACCUACCUAUAAGACUGGGAUAACUUCGGGAAACCGGAGCUAAUACCGGAUAAUAUUUUGAACCGCAUGGUUCAAAAGUGAAAGACGGUCUUGCUGUCACUUAUAGAUGGAUCCGCGCUGCAUUAGCUAGUUGGUAAGGUAACGGCUUACCAAGGCAACGAUGCAUAGCCGACCUGAGAGGGUGAUCGGCCACACUGGAACGGAGACACGGUCCAGACUCCUACGGGAGGCAGCAGUAGGGAAUCUUCCGCAAUGGGCGAAAGCCUGACGGAGCAACGCCGCGUGAGUGAUGAAGGUCUUCGGAUCGUAAAACUCUGUUAUUAGGGAAGAACAUAUGUGUAAGUAACUGUGCACAUCUUGACGGUACCUAAUCAGAAAGCCACGGCUAACUACGUG
rnacentral:rRNA from 1 species